UGGCUUCCGGAGCUAACGCGUUAAGUCGACCGCCUGGGGAGUACGGCCGCAAGGUUAAAACUCAAAUGAAUUGACGGGGGCCCGCACAAGCGGUGGAGCAUGUGGUUUAAUUCGAUGCAACGCGAAGAACCUUACCUACUCUUGACAUCCAGCGAACGGGGCAGAGAUGCCCCGGUGCCUUCGGGAACGCUGAGACAGGUGCUGCAUGGCUGUCGUCAGCUCGUGUUGUGAAAUGUUGGGUUAAGUCCCGCAACGAGCGCAACCCUUAUCCUUUGUUGCCAGCGAUUCGGUCGGGAACUCAAAGGAGACUGCCGGUGAUAAACCGGAGGAAGGUGGGGAUGACGUCAAGUCAUCAUGGCCCUUACGAGUAGGGCUACACACGUGCUACAAUGGCGCAUACAAAGAGAAGCGACCUCGCGAGAGCAAGCGGACCUCACAAAGUGCGUCGUAGUCCGGAUCGGAGUCUGCAACUCGACUCCGUGAAGUCGGAAUCGCUAGUAAUCGUGGAUCAGAAUGCCACGGUGAAUACGUUCCCGGGCCUUGUACACACCGCCCGUCACACCAUGGGAGUGGGUUGCAAAAGAAGUAGGUAGCUUAACCUUCGGGAGGGCGCUUACCACUUUGUGAUUCAUGACUGGGGUGAAGUCGUAACAAGGUAACCGUAGGGGAACCUGCGGUUGGAUCACCUCCUUACCUUAA
rnacentral:rRNA from 1 species